GGACGACCGCUUCUGGAGGAUGUCCUGGCCGGCUACAACUGCUGCCUGCUGGCGUACGGCCAGUCGGGCUCCGGCAAAACGCACACCAUGCUCGGACAGCCGGACUGUCCCGGCAUGAUGCCGCGACUCUGUGAAGAACUCCUGGACCGACUGCCAGCGGUAGCAGACGACGCUUCCAUUUCUCUCAGCUGCAUAGAAGUGUACAAAGAGACGGUACGGGACCUGCUCGGAGAUGAACAGAAGAGUCUCCGGAUACGGGAACACCCGCGGACCGGGCCCUAUGUGGAAG